CCAAAUCCCCAAUCCCCACUGCUGCCCCCGAGCCCUCGACCUGCUGCUCCCGACCUGCGCCGCCGCCCCGACCCACUGCGCCACCGCCCCUACCUGCGCCGCCGCCCAGACCCACUGCGCCGCCGCCCAGUGUUCCUCUUCAUCGUCAUCGUCCCUGGGCCAAGGCUGAGGAGCCGCCGCAACGUCGCCAUCGACCACCUCGUCAUCUACCUCCGGCCACCGCGACGCCAUCGACGGAUUCGUCGUCUUCACUGCACCCCCGGCCUCCUCGAGCUCGUCCCCGGAACCGCGGUUCGUAGGAGCAGAAAGGGACACCGACCAGCAACCGCCCGCCCAACGAUUAUCACACCAGCAGCGAGUUCGUCCGAUCGAACUGCAACUGGAACGGUGAGCCUUGCUUGUGCUCCUCCCUCUCUUUUUCGUUUCUGGUUUCUAAGGUAUCUAUUAAUUUAAAAAUAGUGGCAGUGAGGCAGCAUACUAUGGAAGAUAGGCCUAAAUGUUAUAGAGGUGGGUGAACAUGAUGAGCCUUUCCCGUACAUAUUUGGUUUGGUUGAUUGCCUGGCAUGAGCUAGAUCAAAUGAUCCGUUUGCUCUAUUGAUUCGAGUGGAUGUGGAUGCUUGAUAAAAUUAUCUUAUGAAAUGAUUCCAAUGCUGGCAGCUUCUGAUGUUCCAAUGUUGGCAGCUUCUGAUUCCAA